UCUUAAAAAACUAUACAGUUUUAAAGCUGGGACUUUGUUUAAUAUCAUAAGUAACCUGCUCUGUCUUGUCUGUCGACGUGUUGUCAGUGUCCUCUUUGCUCCGCGAUGCAUUUAUUACUGUGUGUGGCGUCACAGCGCCACGGCUUGACAGAUAAAGCAGCAGUAACUAAGGGGGGGCGGGUCUUUGCGAAGGGUCAGUUCGGCUAGGUAUACAUCCGCGCUAAAAUAUCAAGGUGAAAGUCAUCAUAACUUGCGUAGAAUAGAUCCAGCUCCCAACCCAACUUUGAGAAUAGAUUAACGGCAAUAUUUUUUUUAUCGUCCGAUAAGAGUCUCACGUUAACGCAGCACGUUAACACCGAUAACGGCCCACCACUAUUUUACACUUUUCUAAAAUUUCAAUUAGCAACACAUUUUUCUGUGUGUUUACUUGUGUCGAUAACAAGCAAAUCUUACCUGCUCCACCUUUCUCAGCGACUGUGGGCAUCCCUCAGCCAGACCAUCACGGAGCCGGCUGGAGUGUUGAUCCACCUAACACACAAGAGCACACCUUUUCUGUCCUGAGACCCUCAGGUGAUUGUGACCACCAAGGAAGAACACAGAGUAAGAACAAAAAAAAAAAAGAAAACAAAUAAAACAAAAGAAGAAACAACAGCACACUCAAGUUCACUUGUGCAUUCGCACCAUUUUGUGCAGAUAUAUAAUACAUCCAGAAAGUAUUCUCAGUUACAGCCUUAUUCCAAAAAGGAUUAAAUACAUUUUUUUCCCCUCAAAUUCUACAAACAAGUGACAACAUGAAAGAAGUUUGUUUGAAAUCUUUGCAAAUUUAUAAAAAACAAAAAAAAAACACGUGCAUAAGUACAGAGGGUAUGCAAAAGUGAUAAUACUUUUGAGUUUUAUGGACGUCGCCAUCUUUAAUGUUAUGUUGGUCACUGUUGUUAUGGUUACUAGUAAGAGAAUAUGGGUUUGACUCUCGUUGGACGUUCAUACAGACGCUACUGUGUUACGGACGCUACUGUAAGUUGCUGUGUGAAUGAGACUUUAAGACUGACACCUGUAAGUAAAUGCGAUUGUCAAUCCCAAAAACUGACAGUGUGAAUGUGGCCUUAGUCAGGGAGGUGACCAAGAACCCAAUGGUCACUCUGACAGAGCUCCAGCAUUUCUCUGGUGGAGCUUGAGAGGUCCUGCAAAGAAGAAUGAAAGAAACUGCCCAAAAAUAGGUGUGCCAAGCUUACCACAUCAUACUCAAAAAGACUUGAGGCUGUAAUUGGUGCCAAAGGUGCUAUAACAAAGUAGUGAGCAAAGGCCUUGUAUACUUAUGUACAUGAGAUUUGUUUUAAUUUUUUUUAUUUUUAAUAUAUUUGAAAAGAUUUUAAACAAACUUCUUUCACAUUGUCAUGGUGGGGUAUUGUUUAAAUCACUUUUGGAAUAAGGCUGUAACACAAAAUGUGGAAAAAGUGAAGCGCUGUGAAUACUUUCUGGAUGUACUGUAAGUCGUAAUUAGGGAUGUCAAUUUACACAAAUACCCAAGACUGAUCAUUUAAAUGAACUGAUAGAUUAAUCAUUAGCCUUAAUACUGUGAUAUGUGUUUACUGCAGUGGCAUAUAGCCAACAGCAUGACAGGGAGUGCACAUGCCGCUUUUUAAUCUAAAUAAAGGGCUAAUAGGAUUGUAAAA